AACCAUAGAAACCUGCGGAGUACCUGCGGAAGGAUCAUUACAGAGUUGCAAAACUCCCUAAACCAUUGUGAACGUUACCUAAACCGUUGCUUCGGCGGGCGGCCCGGGUCCUUCCCGGCGCCCAUCGGCCCUCGCGGGCGCCCGCCGGAGGUAAACCAAACUAUUGCAUUGUAUGGCCUCUCUGAGUCUUCUGUACUGAAUAAGCCAAAACUUUCAACAACGGAUCUCAGAUCGGAAGAG
rnacentral:misc_RNA from 1 species